GAUGAACGCUGGCGGCGUGCCUAAUACAUGCAAGUCGAGCGAACGGACGAGAAGCUUGCUUCUCUGAUGUUAGCGGCGGACGGGUGAGUAACACGUGGAUAACCUGCCUAUAAGACUGGGAUAACUUCGGGAAACCGUAGCUAAUACCGGAUAAUAUUUUGAACCGCAUGGUUCAAAAGUGAAAGACGGUCUUGCUGUCACUUAUAGAUGGAUCCGCGCUGCAUUAGCUAGUUGGUAAGGCAACGGCUUACCAAGGCAACGAUGCAUAGCCGACCUGAGAGGGUGAUCGGCCACACUGGAACUGAGACACGGUCCAGACUCCUACGGGAGGCAGCAGUAGGGAAUCUUCCGCAAUGGGCGAAAGCCUGACGGAGCAACGCCGCGUGAGUGAUGAAGGUCUUCGGAUCGUAAAACUCUGUUAUUAGGGAAGAACAUAUGUGUAAGUAACUGUGCACAUCUUGACGGUACCUAAUCAGAAAGCCACGGCUAACUACGUG
rnacentral:rRNA from 1 species